CUGGCCCUGAAUCAAGGCAGGCAGUUUCCUGACGCUGUUGGUUUCAAGCUGGAGCCUAAAGCAAUUUAGUCUUUCUAUGGUCUGUUGGCCAUUUCAGAACCUGAGCAGUGAGGUGGUCAAUUGAUUAGAAAGAAGCAGCC
ensembl:snoRNA small nucleolar RNA SNORA2/SNORA34 family